GCCCAGGUGGCGGAAUUGGUAGACGCGCACGGUUCAGGUCCGUGUGCCGCAAGGCGUGGAGGUUCGAGUCCUCUCCUGGGCA
rfam:Paracoccus halophilus strain JCM 14014 Contig_11, whole genome shotgun sequence.